rnacentral:rRNA from 1 species
GACGAACGCUGGCGGCGUGCUUAACACAUGCAAGUCGAACGAUGAAGCCAGCUUGCUGGUGGAUUAGUGGCGAACGGGUGAGUAACACGUGGGUGAUCUGCCCCAAACUUUGGGAUAAGCCUGGGAAACUGGGUCUAAUACCGAAUAUGACCGAUACUCGCAUGGGUGUUGGUGGAAAGCUCCGGCGGUUUGGGAUGGGCCCGCGGCCUAUCAGCUUGUUGGUGGGGUAAUGGCCUACCAAGGCGACGACGGGUAGCCGGCCUGAGAGGGCGACCGGCCACACUAGGACUGAGACACGGCCCAGACUCCUACGGGAGGCAGCAGUGGGGAAUAUUGCACAAUGGGCGCAAGCCUGAUGCAGCGACGCCGCGUGAGGGAUGACGGCCUUCGGGUUGUAAACCUCUUUCACCAGGGACGAAGCGAAAGUGACGGUACCUGGAGAAGAAGCACCGGCCAACUACGUG